AUUGAACGCCGGCGGCAUGCUUUACACAUGCAAGUCGAACGGUAACAGGCCUUCGGGUGCUGACGAGUGGCGAACGGGUGAGUAAUGCAUCGGAACGUACCCAGAGGUGGGGGAUAACGCAGCGAAAGCUGUGCUAAUACCGCAUGUGAUCUGAGGAUGAAAGCGGGGGACCGAGCAGCAAUGUUUGGCCUCGCGCCUUUGGAGCGGCCGAUGUCGGAUUAGCUAGUUGGUGGGGUAAAGGCCUACCAAGGCGACGAUCCGUAGCUGGUCUGAGAGGACGACCAGCCACACUGGGACUGAGACACGGCCCAGACUCCUACGGGAGGCAGCAGUGGGGAAUUUUGGACAAUGGGCGCAAGCCUGAUCCAGCAAUGCCGCGUGCGGGAAGAAGGCCUUCGGGUUGUAAACCGCUUUUGGCAGGAACGAAACGGUGUCCGCUAAUACCGGGCGCUAAUGACGGUACCUGCAGAAUAAGCACCGGCUAACUACGUG
rnacentral:rRNA from 1 species